UACGGGGGGAGCAAGCGUUGUUCGGAUUUACUGGGCGUAAAGGGCGCGUAGGCGGCCUCUGCAAGUCAGUUGUGAAAUCUCCGGGCUUAACUCGGAAAGGUCAACUGAUACUGCAGGGCUAGAGUGCGGAAGGGGCAACUGGAAUUCUCGGUGUAGCGGUGAAAUGCGUAGAUAUCGGGAGGAACACCGGUGGCGAAGGCGGGUCUCUGGGCAUUUCCUGACGCUGAGGCGCGAAAGCGUGGGGAGCAAACAGG
rnacentral:rRNA from 1 species